GUUGGCACGAGUUCAAGCCCUAAUCUUUCGGCCUUCGUUGGGCAGCUGAUCGGCCUGCCCAGGCAUUAAGAGUCCAUUAUUCUAAACUCGCAUUGCUUUCUCCUGCUCGCUCAGUACCCAAAACUCAAAAAUCUCUCAUUGGAAAUGCUUUUUUCCUUCGCUUCCCGCCGUUUCCUUCCGCCGGCAACCAUUUUCUUUUCUACUAAAACAAUCAAUCCCAUUCCCGAGUUCGAUUUCAAGUUUAACACCUCGGAACGUCGUCCGACACACGCUAAUUUCGACCCUUCCACUGUUCGUGAAGCGCUUGAUUCUUACUGCAAUGACUGGAAGCGCUCGUACGAGUUUUUCAACUGGGUUGAAUCGGAAUGUAAGUUCGAUCACACCACCGAGACCUACAAUCGCAUGUUGGACAUUCUCGGUAAGUUCUUCGAGUUCGAUCUUUCCUGGGUCUUGAUCAACCGUAUGCGACAAUCCCCGUUUGCGCCACCGGAUCACACCACGUUUCGAAUUUUGUUUAAGCGUUAUGCGUCGGCUCAUUUGGUUACUGAAGCGAUUGCUGCUUAUGAGAGAUUACGGGAGUUUAAAUUGAGGGAUGAGACUUCGUUUUGUAAUCUUAUUGAUGCACUUUGUGAGUCUAGACAUGUCGAUGAAGCGCAGGAACUGUGUUUUGGGAAGAAUAGGAGGUUGGAUUGUGAUUCGAGUACGAAGAUUCAUAACUUAAUUCUUCGUGGUUGGCUUAAGAUGGGAUGGUGGAGUAAAUGUAGAGACUUUUGGGAAGAAAUGGAUAAGAAGGGCGUUCGUAAGGAUUUGCAUUCGUAUUCGAUAUAUAUGGAUAUACAGUGCAAGAGUGGGAAACCUUGGAAGGCUGUUAAAUUGUACAAGGAGAUGAAACAGAAGGGAAUGAAAUUGGAUGUAGUGGCCUAUAAUACGGUGAUUCAUGCCGUUGGGAUUUCGGAAGGUGUCGAUUUUGCCAGCCGGGUGUUUCAUGAGAUGAAGGAAAUGGGAUGUAAGCCUAACGUUGUGACGUGCAAUACUGUUAUUAAGCUGUUUUGUGAGAAUGGAAGAUUCAAGGAUGCCCAUAUGAUGCUCGACCAAAUGCUUAAGAGGGACUGUCAACCUAAUGUUAUCACCUAUCAUUGUUUUUUCAGGUCUCUUGAAAAGCCGAAAGAGAUUCUCAUAUUAUUUGAUAGGAUGAUUAAAUAUGGGGUUCAUCCAAAAAUGGAUACCUAUGUGAUGCUCUUGAGGAAGUUUGGAAGAUGGGGGUUUCUAAGACCAGUGUUUUUAGUGUGGAAUAAGAUGGAGGAACUUGGGUGUAGCCCAAAUGAGUGUGCUUACAAUGCUUUGAUUGAUGCUCUUGUGGAGAAGGGAAUGAUAGAUAUGGCUAGGAAGUAUGACGAAGAGAUGGUAGCGAAAGGUCUUUCGCCUAAGCUGAGAGUGGAAUUGGGGACAAAGAUGGUGAAUGGUGGCUAUCAUGCCAAUGUGAACUGCAACAAGUAGAUAGUAAUGGCACUUCUCGUUGCUUGUAGACACAUGUGAUCUUGCAGUUUAUUAUUACCCAGAUUAAGCUGCUGCAAAUAAGGUGGAGUCUAACUAGUUGAACUUUUAUCUGGGUUCUGUUAUACAGAAAUUUGAGGGGAGAGACAAACAGAGCACACGGGAAUACGAUGUUAAACAUCUGGUAAACAUGUUUAACACAAUAUUACUAGUUAAGCUCUAAUCUUGAAUGUUGGAGUUUGCCAUUUUUUUUCAUUCAGGUUAGAUAUCAACGGCAGGCUAUCAUGAUGUCUGGAUGAGUUUCCAGUUCUUGAGGCACUCAGCCAACGAUCUCUCAGAUUCUUCAUGAAGGUAUCAAAUUAUUGAUGAUUGAUGAGACCAUACGUUUGACAAAUUAAUUGAGAAACCAUAUUCUUGCUACCUCUCAAAACAGAGAAGAAAUUGUUCUAUGGAUUUUGGUUUCUACUUAAAUCCAUUCCCUCAAAAAGAUUUAUAUUUCUCCCUAACAAGGAGAACAGCACCAGAACUUCAGCAAGCCUCAAGUUUCCUUUUUUGAAAUAAAAACUUUCAAGGGACUGAUGAAAUGAAAACUCAAGGGUAGCAAGGUGCAAGCUUAACGAUGUGGAUGUCAAGACUCUCCAAUACUUUUGACAAACAUCACUGAGAUGAGGGGUAGUAAGUAAAUGAAUUACUGAGGAAAUUAUUAAUAUGUAACUUUUGUUUCUUCAUUUUCUCCUUAAAACUCUAUACUUUUGCUACAUGAACAGACUUUUUUUUUUUUUGAAAAUAUAAUUAAAAUUAUAGUAAAAGGAGCGGGCUGAGGCUUACUUUUAACAUUUUUUUAUGUAGUUAUUUUAAUUGCAAUAAGACAAUAUCUACCUUUGGGGUUCCUUAUCAUCCCUAGUGUGGGAAACAGAUUACAUGUAUGAUAUGACGGUCUAGCUUUUUCUGAUUUUCUAGUGCAAGAAGGAAUUGGAUUAAAAGAACAAGAACACGCCUGAUUACCCUUUAUGAUAGGAUAAUUGUUUUAAAUGGCAAAAUUGCUAAUGUUGAAAAUAUUUUCAAAUAUAGCAAAAUGUCAAUGUCUAUCAAUAAGAGACAGUGCUGGACUUUGAUAGACAUCUAUCGUUGUCUAUCAUUUCAUUGACAAUGAAAUUUUGCUUUGUUUAUAAAUAGUUUAUUAGACUUUGUUUGAAUACAACCAUUUAUGAUAUAAUAGUGUCACCAAACAAUUGCUUAAAUAAUUUGAAGAAUUCUAUCCAUUGUGUGGGACAACCGUUAUAAAAAAUGUGAGGUCGGAAUUAUGUGGUGAGAAAAUUUAUUUUUAUUGGCAUAUAAAAGGCAAGUUGGGCCGUUAUAUAUAUAUAUAUUUGUUGAAGUCAAAGAAACAAAAAAUAAUGUAGCAUACAUGAUAAACAUGCUAAAUAUACAUACUUUUUAUUAUUGAAUUUCCUGACUUCAAUCUGAAAAUUAUUGCAUUUUCACAUCCAUGCAGUAGGCGAUCAGUCGCUUCUCUUAUUUCUCUGACGUCAUUUCUGUUCUUUUCUGAUCUUUAAUUGUUGUAUGGACUUAAAAAAAUUACACAUCAAACCAAGUGUUAUAUGUUAUUUCUUUCCCGUGCCCAAGGACAAAAAAACUUCGUUGACAAAAUUUUAUCUAAGAUGGUGGGACUGUGUCAACUGUUGUGUAAAAAGUCAGUAAAGGAUCGUUUCAGAAGACAUUAGCCUUGAUGAAAGAGAACUAAAUUGGUCGUUGAUGAGAUUGAUGGUAUGCAUGCUUAUAAGAUAUAAAUCCUCCAACUUCCUAAUUGCCAGGUACCAAUCCGUAGCAGAGAUAAUUACCAUCCCAGUGCUCAACCAUGAGUUUCUCCAGCAAAUCACGAUUACAUUCUCUUCCUGCUGGAAAUUCUUGGGGAUUGAACUCAGGCUUUGAUGAGGAAAGAUGGGUCAUUCAAAUUCGUCAAUCCUUAGAUGAAGAAGAGCUCGAGGAAGACAUAGGAAUUCCAGUAUGCAUAUUCAAUGUCCCUAAGUCUCUUAUGGUCAUUGAUCCUGAUUCCUAUACCCCACAGGAAGUGGCAAUUGGUCCAUACCAUCACUGGCGCCAAGAGCUGUAUGAGAUGGAGAGGUACAAGAUUGCUGCAGCCAAAAGAGCUCAAAAACAGCUCCAAAGCCUCAAGUUUCACGACCUCGUGGAGAAAUUGACCAAGCAUGAGCAAAAGACCCGAGCAUGCUACCACAAAUACCUCAAUUUCAACAGUGAAACAUUUGCUUGGAUGAUGGCCGUUGAUGCCUCCUUCCUGCUGGAGGUUCUCCGAGUAUAUACAAGAGAAGAAACAAGUAUCUCAAGUGUUUCCUCAAAGUUGUCAUAUUUGGUAGAUUAUGAGGGAAGGAAGUCAGCACAUAAUGCCAUUCUGAGAGACAUAGUAAUGCUUGAGAAUCAGAUACCUUUAUUUGUUUUGAGAAUGAUGUUGGAACUUCAAUUUUCAGCUGUUGAACCAGCAGAUCAAUUGUUGCUUUCUAUGUUACUGGGACUCUACGAAGAUCUUUCUCCUUUCAAGGUGAUGGAAGAUUUGGUGGAACUUCAAGUUUCGGUCUCAGAAUGCUUUCAUUUACUGGAUUUUUUGUACAGAAUGAUUACUCCUAAGUUGGUUGAUACAUUGGAGACUAUGGAAGACGAUCAAAAUCAACAGGAACCUGCCAUAGAAAUUGUUGAAAGUACCUUUAAACACCCAUGCAGUCCAUUGAGUAGUCUGGGAAGUGAAAUUUGGAAGAUUCUCUCAAAGUUAAACGAAGGUCCCGUACAUUUUUUCAAAAGAAUAGUUGGUUCUAGGCCCUUACAAGUGAUCUUCAAACUGCCAUGGACAAUCGUCUCUAACAUUCCUGGAAUAGGGACUCUGAUGAAGCCUCUCGAAUACAUAUUUUCACUGAGAAAGGUUGAAGAAGAAAAGGAUCCAGAAAAGGGGGGGAGUUCAAGGAAAGAUGGAAAAACUAAACUUCCUUUGUUGGAGGAAAUAACAAUUCCUUCAGUGUCGGAGCUGACAAAAUCGGGGGUUCGUUUCUUGCCCAUCAAUGGAGGCGUCUCAGCCAUUGCCUUUGACUCAAAGGCAGUGAUAUUUAACCUUCCUAUCAUUAAGCUGGAUGUGAACUCUGAAGUAGUAUUAAGAAACUUAGUAGCAUAUGAAGCUUCAAAAUCAUCAGGGCCUUUGGUUUUCACCCGUUUCAUCGAAUUAAUGAAUGGGAUCAUUGAUUCUGAGGAGGACGUGAAAUUGCUAAAGGAAAAAGGAAUCAUUUUGAACCAUUUGAAGAGUGAUGCAGAAGUAGCCGAGGUCUGGAAUGGGAUGAGCAAAUCCAUCAAGUUGACGAAAGUGCCAUUCUUGGAUAAGGUAAUUGAAGAUGUAAAUAAGCAUUACAGUAGUAGAUGGAAGGUUAAAGCUGCAAAGUUUGUAGAAAAGUACGUGUUUGGUUCGUGGCCAUUGCUUGCACUUCUGGCUACCAUUCUGCUCUUGGCCAUGAAUGCAUUGCAAGCAUUUUGCUCAGUUUAUAGCUGCUCUCGGUUCUUCGAUCAUCUCAGCACUGCCGGGACCUAGCUUGCAGUGGUUUGUUGAGCCAUUCGUUCUCCCCUCUCAAUCAGCUUUUGCCAGCCUUAAAGCAUUAAAAGAAGGAAACGGAGGAAGGCUUUCUGCUCUACUUGUCUUCGGUCUUGGGCUACACAAGAACUUCGUGGGUAAUCUUUUUUCUUUAAUAGUUUGAUGUCGAAUAUGAACGAAAAAGAAAAGAUUUGUCUAAUUUGUGGAGUGCAUUGUUUCUAGACGUUACCAAAGUCAUCGAUAAGAAUUUAAGAUUCGAGAAUUUAUACUA